CCCUCAUGCCAUCCCCACACAUCAGCCUCUGGGACAGGUAGGUGGUUAUUUUCACUUUCAGGGGCAGAAACUCAGAGACAGACGCUCAGGGAGGACCCGGGACUUGCCCAGCGUCGCGGCGGCGUGGGACUCUGAGCCCAGGUCCGUACAGCAGCUUGAUGCUCAGCGCUGUCCUGCUGCAUUGCUGAAGACGGUCCUCAGCACCAUGUCUAGGUCUCGGUUCCAUGGUCACCGGAGGGGUCCUGUGACACCGUCUCCUCUUCUAACUUCUGCUGGGACAGAGGGGACCCUUCUCUCUCCUUCUGAGGGCCACAGAGAAGAAAGGUGAUUUCCCCUGGGUCCCUCCAGGUGCAGUGCAAAGGCCCUGAGGCCUUCAGCUCGAGAUCAGCUACGGGCCUGGACCCCUGCAAUGGGCCUCCCACCUUCAGAAGUCACUGGGCCAGAAAUGCCGCUGAUGUCCAGUCUUCCUGUCAUCCCUCCUCAAGGCUGGAGUAAAAUCAGCUUCAGACCUUGGAGACUGAGGAAAAUCCCACCAAGCGCUGAGAACAAGGAGAGGAGUCAGAGAGCAAGGAAGGACGGUUCAUCUUGGGUCUUGGUGCCGACGCUUGAUUCACUGGAAGACGCCAGGGAGACAGGCCUGGAUUCUGACCCCUGCCUGCUCCUUCCUGAGCUUCAGUUUCUCCGUAAGAAUCCCAUAAGGGUUCAAUCUCUGGCCAAAGUGCCUGGCACGCAGUUGGUGCCAAAUAAAUGUUCACGGGCUCUGACUUGAAUGACUCUCAGAGCCGGCUUCAGUGUGUGGUGGGAACCUGACACAUCUUCAAGAGGCCUCACCUCCCAUCCACCCCCCUCAUCCCCUGCUGGCCUCCUGGGCAACCUUCCGGAAACACCCCCGGGUCACGUCAUGCUCCUGCUCCACAGCCAUCACUGGCUCCCAUGCUCAGCACAUGCUGGCCUUCCCUUUCCCCACCCCUAUUUACAGUUGAGAACACAGAGGCUCCGAGAGACGGGUGUGGCCCAGGUGUGGCCCAGCCCGGAUGAAAAUUCAGACCUUCUGCCCUCAACCUGGGACACCUAACACUCUCCAGCUCUAAUUCCCCUCCUUAGUGAGGCCCCGGGUACUUUCUCUCCCAUCCUCUUUUCUUUACUCCGCUGCAUAGACUACCACGUGCAAUUACCGAGUUUAUUAUCGGUGUCCUUGUUUAUCGUUGCCUCUCUCUCAAGAACAUGAGCCCCAUGAAAUCACGGACCUGGUUUGUCAUGUUCACCGAAUCCCGGGCACAGAGCAGGGAGUCAAUAAAUUCUUCUUGAACAGUUGUUGGAAGAACUAA
rnacentral:lncRNA from 1 species